GCCUGGGUGGCUCAGUCAGUUGAGCGCCCGACUUGGGCUCAGGUCAUGAUCUCACAGUUUGUGGGUUCAAGCCCCGCAUUGGGCU
rnacentral:tRNA from 1 species